ACACAUGCAAGUCGAGCGGUAACAUUUCUAGCUUGCUAGAAGAUGACGAGCGGCGGACGGGUGAGUAAUGCUUGGGAAUAUGCCUUAGGAUGGGGGACAACAGCUGGAAACGACUGCUAAUACCGCAUAACGUCUACGGACCAAAGGGGGCUUCGGCUCUCGCCCUUAGAUUAGCCCAAGUGGGAUUAGCUAGUUGGUGAGGUAAUGGCUCACCAAGGCGACGAUCCCUAGCUGGUUUGAGAGGAUGAUCAGCCACACUGGAACUGAGACACGGUCCAGACUCCUACGGGAGGCAGCAGUGGGGAAUAUUGCACAAUGGGCGCAAGCCUGAUGCAGCCAUGCCGCGUGUGUGAAGAAGGCCUUAGGGUUGUAAAGCACUUUCAGUAAGGAGGAAAGGUUAGUAGUUAAUACCUGCUAGCUGUGACGUUACUUACAGAAGAAGCACCGGCUAACUCCGUGCCAGCAGCCGCGGUAAUACGGAGGGUGCGAGCGUUAAUCGGAAUUACUGGGCGUAAAGCGUACGCAGGCGGUUUGUUAAGCGAGAUGUGAAAGCCCCGGGCUCAACCUGGGAACUGCAUUUCGAACUGGCAAACUAGAGUAUGAUAGAGGGUGGUAGAAUUUCAGGUGUAGCGGUGAAAUGCGUAGAUAUCUGGAGGAACAUCAGUGGCGAAGGGCGACUCCCUGGCCAAAGACU
rnacentral:rRNA from 1 species